GGUGUGUCUGCAGGGAGGACUUCUCCAGCUCCAGGGCUGGAUGCUUGGCCCCAACCCAGCUCCCAUGGCAGGGGUCCUCCGACAGGAAAGACCCAAGAUACUGCAGCCAAAAAGUCUCAUGACUCAGAUGAAUUCCUGAGACAAACACAGAAGGAAGCACCCGGAGGACAAGUGAUGGACCAAAAGGCUGUUCAGGAGGAGGAACACUCAGGGAGAAGCAGUGGCUCAUUGGCAGCCCCUGCUGCGGGAAGGAAGGCGAUGCCAGAC